rnacentral:rRNA from 1 species
AUUGAACGCUGGCGGCAGGCCUAACACAUGCAAGUCGAGCGGGGUUUUCGGACCUAGCGGCGGACGGGUGAGUAAUGCGUAGGAAGCUACCCGAUAGAGGGGGAUACCAGUUGGAAACGACUGUUAAUACCGCAUAAUGUCUACGGACCAAAGUGUGGGACCUUCGGGCCACAUGCUAUCGGAUGCGCCUACGUGGGAUUAGCUAGUUGGUGAGGUAAUGGCUCACCAAGGCGACGAUCUCUAGCUGGUUUGAGAGGAUGAUCAGCCACACUGGAACUGAGACACGGUCCAGACUCCUACGGAGGCAGCAGUGGGGAAUAUUGGACAAUGGGCGCAAGCCUGAUCCAGCCAUGCCGCGUGUGUGAAGAAGGCC